CCGGGGCUUAACCCCGGAUCUGCGGUGGGUACGGGCAGACUAGAGUGCAGUAGGGGAGACUGGAAUUCCUGGUGUAGCGGUGGAAUGCGCAGAUAUCAGGAGGAACACCGAUGGCGAAGGCAGGUCUCUGGGCUGUAACUGACGCUGAGGAGCGAAAGCAUGGGGAGCGAACAGGAUUAGAUACCCUGGUAGUCCAUGCCGUAAACGUUGGGCACUAGGUGUGGGGACCAUUCCACGGUUUCCGCGCCGCAGCUAACGCAUUAAGUGCCCCGCCUGGGGAGUACGGCCGCAAGGCUAAAACUCAAAGGAAUUGACGGGGGCCCGCACAAGCGGCGGAGCAUGCGGAUUAAUUCGAUGCAACGCGAAGAACCUUACCAAGGCUUGACAUGUUCUCGAUCGCCGUAGAGAUACGGUUUCCCCUUUGGGGCGGGUUCACAGGUGGUGCAUGGUUGUCGUCAGCUCGUGUCGUGAGAUGUUGGGUUAAGUCCCGCAACGAGCGCAACCCUCGUUCCAUGUUGCCAGCACGUAAUGGUGGGGACUCAUGGGAGACUGCCGGGGUCAACUCGGAGGAAGGUGAGGACGACGUCAAAUCAUCAUGCCCCUUAUGUCUUGGGCUUCACGCAUGCUACAAUGGCCGGUACAAUGGGUUGCGAUACUGUGAGGUGGAGCUAAUCCCAAAAAGCCGGUCUCAGUUCGGAUUGGGGUCUGCAACUCGACCCCAUGAAGUCGGAGUCGCUAGUAAUCGCAGAUCAGCAACGCUGCGGUGAAUACGUUCCCGGGCCUUGUACACACCGCCCGUCAAGUCACGAAAGUUGGUAACACCCGAAGCCGGUGGCCUAACCC
rnacentral:rRNA from 1 species